UUCAAAGUUCUAAUAGACAAGAUACGUUGUUGCCAACGGGAUCAACAAACUUUGAUGUUGAUGUUUUAGUUUUUAAUUUGAAAACAUUAGAAUGGAACACAAUGAAAAAUGUUUUAACCAAUUUGGAAAAAUAUCAUUUCGAUCAUGCUCGUGUUGCUGCUUCGUUUAUGAAUCGUUUUUUGACAGUUGUUAGUGGUCAAUCAUCGUUUGCUAAUAAAACUCACGAAGGUCAACAUGA
rnacentral:ribozyme from 1 species